rnacentral:rRNA from 1 species
GGUUAAGCGACUAAGCGUACACGGUGGAUGCCCUGGCAGUCAGAGGCGAUGAAGGACGUGCUAAUCUGCGAAAAGCGUCGGUAAGGUGAUAUGAACCGUUAUAGCCGGCGAUGUCCGAAUGGGGAAACCCAGUGUGAUUCGUCACACUAUCGUUAACUGAAUACAUAGGUUAACGAGGCGAACCGGGGGAACUGAAACAUCUAAGUACCCCGAGGAAAAGAAAUCAACCGAGAUUCCCCCAGUAGCGGCGAGCGAACGGGGAGCAGCCCAGAGUCUGAAUCAGCUUGUGUAUUAGUGGAACGGUCUGGAAAGUCCGACGGUACAGGGUGAUAGUCCCGUACACCAAAAUGCACAGGCUGUGAACUCGAAGAGUAGGGCGGGACACGUGGUAUCCUGUCUGAAUAUGGGGGGACCAUCCUCCAAGGCUAAAUACUCCUGACUGACCGAUAGUAAACCAGUACCGUGAGGGAAAGGCGAAAAGAACCCCGGCGAGGGGAGUGAAAAAGAACCUGAAACCGUGUACGUACAAGCAGUGGGAGCACCUUCGGGUGUGACUGCGUACCUUUUGUAUAAUGGGUCAGCGACUUAUAUUCUGUAGCAAGGUUAACCGUAUAGGGGAGCCGCAGGGAAACCGAGUCUUAACUGGGCGUUAAGUUGCAGGGUAUAGACCCGAAACCCGGUGAUCUAGCCAUGGGCAGGUUGAAGGUUGGGUAACACUAACUGGAGGACCGAACCGACUAAUGUUGAAAAAUUAGCGGAUGACUUGUGGCUGGGGGUGAAAGGCCAAUCAAACCGGGAGAUAGCUGGUUCUCCCCGAAAGCUAUUUAGGUAGCGCCUCGUGAAUUCAUCUUCGGGGGUAGAGCACUGUUUCGGCUAGGGGUCAUCCCGACUUACCAACCCGAUGCAAACUACGAAUACCGAAGAAUGUUAUCACGGGAGACACACGGCGGGUGCUAACGUCCGUCGUGAAGAGGGAAACAACCCAGACCGCCAGCUAAGGUCCCAAAGUCAUGGUUAAGUGGGAAACGAUGUGGGAAGGCACAGACAGCCAGGAUGUUGGCUUAGAAGCAGCCAUCAUUUAAAGAAAGCGUAAUAGCUCACUGGUCGAGUCGGCCUGCGCGGAAGAUGUAACGGGGCUAAACCAUGCACCGAAGCUGCGGCAGCGACACUAUGUGUUGUUGGGUAGGGGAGCGUUCUGUAAGCCUGCGAAGGUGACCUGUGAGGGUUGCUGGAGGUAUCAGAAGUGCGAAUGCUGACAUAAGUAACGAUAAAGCGGGUGAAAAGCCCGCUCGCCGGAAGACCAAGGGUUCCUGUCCAACGUUAAUCGGGGCAGGGUGAGUCGACCCCUAAGGCGAGGCCGAAAGGCGUAGUCGAUGGGAAACAGGUUAAUAUUCCUGUACUUGGUGUUACUGCGAAGGGGGGACGGAGAAGGCUAUGUUAGCCGGGCGACGGUUGUCCCGGUUUAAGCAUGUAGGCUGGUUGUCCAGGCAAAUCCGGAUAAUCAAGGCUGAGGUGUGAUGACGAGGUACUACGGUGCUGAAGUAACAAAUGCCCUGCUUCCAGGAAAAGCCUCUAAGCAUCAGGUAACAUCAAAUCGUACCCCAAACCGACACAGGUGGUCAGGUAGAGAAUACCAAGGCGCUUGAGAGAACUCGGGUGAAGGAACUAGGCAAAAUGGUGCCGUAACUUCGGGAGAAGGCACGCUGGUGUGUAGGUGAAGUCCCUGCGGAUGGAGCUGAGACCAGUCGAAGAUACCAGCUGGCUGCAACUGUUUAUUAAAAACACAGCACUGUGCAAACACGAAAGUGGACGUAUACGGUGUGACGCCUGCCCGGUGCCGGAAGGUUAAUUGAUGGGGUUAUCCGUAAGGAGAAGCUCUUGAUCGAAGCCCCGGUAAACGGCGGCCGUAACUAUAACGGUCCUAAGGUAGCGAAAUUCCUUGUCGGGUAAGUUCCGACCUGCACGAAUGGCGUAAUGAUGGCCAGGCUGUCUCCACCCGAGACUCAGUGAAAUUGAACUCGCUGUGAAGAUGCAGUGUACCCGCGGCAAGACGGAAAGACCCCGUGAACCUUUACUAUAGCUUGACACUGAACAUUGAGCCUUGAUGUGUAGGAUAGGUGGGAGGCUUUGAAGCGUGGACGCCAGUCUGCGUGGAGCCAACCUUGAAAUACCACCCUUUAAUGUUUGAUGUUCUAACGUUGGCCCCUGACCGGGGUUGCGGACAGUGUCUGGUGGGUAGUUUGACUGGGGCGGUCUCCUCCCAAAGCGUAACGGAGGAGCACGAAGGUUAGCUAAUCCUGGUCGGACAUCAGGAGGUUAGUGCAAUGGCAUAAGCUAGCUUGACUGCGAGCGUGACGGCGCGAGCAGGUGCGAAAGCAGGUCAUAGUGAUCCGGUGGUUCUGAAUGGAAGGGCCAUCGCUCAACGGAUAAAAGGUACUCCGGGGAUAACAGGCUGAUACCGCCCAAGAGUUCAUAUCGACGGCGGUGUUUGGCACCUCGAUGUCGGCUCAUCACAUCCUGGGGCUGAAGUAGGUCCCAAGGGUAUGGCUGUUCGCCAUUUAAAGUGGUACGCGAGCUGGGUUUAGAACGUCGUGAGACAGUUCGGUCCCUAUCUGCCGUGGGCGCUGGAGAAUUGAGGGGGGCUGCUCCUAGUACGAGAGGACCGGAGUGGACGCAUCACUGGUGUUCGGGUUGUCAUGCCAAUGGCACUGCCCGGUAGCUAAAUGCGGAAGAGAUAAGUGCUGAAAGCAUCUAAGCACGAAACUUGCCCCGAGAUGAGUUCUCCCUGAGACUUUAAGUCUCCUGAAGGAACGUUGAAGACGACGACGUUGAUAGGCCGGGUGUGUAAGCGCAGCGAUGCGUUGAGCUAACCGGUACUAAUGAACCGUGAGGCUUAACCUU